ACUUAAAUUGAAGAGUUUGAUCAUGGCUCAGAUUGAACGCUGGCGGCAGGCCUAACACAUGCAAGUCGAGCGGUAGCACAGAGAGCUUGCUCUCGGGUGACGAGCGGCGGACGGGUGAGUAAUGUCUGGGAAACUGCCUGAUGGAGGGGGAUAACUACUGGAAACGGUAGCUAAUACCGCAUAACGUCGCAAGACCAAAGUGGGGGACCUUCGGGCCUCAUGCCAUCAGAUGUGCCCAGAUGGGAUUAGCUGGUAGGUGGGGUAACGGCUCACCUAGGCGACGAUCCCUAGCUGGUCUGAGAGGAUGACCAGCCACACUGGAACUGAGACACGGUCCAGACUCCUACGGGAGGCAGCAGUGGGGAAUAUUGCACAAUGGGCGCAAGCCUGAUGCAGCCAUGCCGCGUGUGUGAAGAAGGCCUUCGGGUUGUAAAGCACUUUCAGCGGGGAGGAAGGCGAUAAGGUUAAUAACCUUGUCGAUUGACGUUACCCGCAGAAGAAGCACCGGCUAACUCCGUGCCAGCAGCCGCGGUAAUACGGAGGGUGCAAGCGUUAAUCGGAAUUACUGGGCGUAAAGCGCACGCAGGCGGUCUGUCAAGUCGGAUGUGAAAUCCCCGGGCUCAACCUGGGAACUGCAUUCGAAACUGGCAGGCUAGAGUCUUGUAGAGGGGGGUAGAAUUCCAGGUGUAGCGGUGAAAUGCGUAGAGAUCUGGAGGAAUACCGGUGGCGAAGGCGGCCCCCUGGACAAAGACUGACGCUCAGGUGCGAAAGCGUGGGGAGCAAACAGGAUUAGAUACCCUGGUAGUCCACGCUGUAAACGAUGUCGAUUUGGAGGUUGUGCCCUUGAGGCGUGGCUUCCGGAGCUAACGCGUUAAAUCGACCGCCUGGGGAGUACGGCCGCAAGGUUAAAACUCAAAUGAAUUGACGGGGGCCCGCACAAGCGGUGGAGCAUGUGGUUUAAUUCGAUGCAACGCGAAGAACCUUACCUGGUCUUGACAUCCACAGAACUUAGCAGAGAUGCUUUGGUGCCUUCGGGAACUGUGAGACAGGUGCUGCAUGGCUGUCGUCAGCUCGUGUUGUGAAAUGUUGGGUUAAGUCCCGCAACGAGCGCAACCCUUAUCCUUUGUUGCCAGCGGUUAGGCCGGGAACUCAAAGGAGACUGCCAGUGAUAAACUGGAGGAAGGUGGGGAUGACGUCAAGUCAUCAUGGCCCUUACGACCAGGGCUACACACGUGCUACAAUGGCAUAUACAAAGAGAAGCGACCUCGCGAGAGCAAGCGGACCUCAUAAAGUAUGUCGUAGUCCGGAUUGGAGUCUGCAACUCGACUCCAUGAAGUCGGAAUCGCUAGUAAUCGUAGAUCAGAAUGCUACGGUGAAUACGUUCCCGGGCCUUGUACACACCGCCCGUCACACCAUGGGAGUGGGUUGCAAAAGAAGUAGGUAGCUUAACCUUCGGGAGGGCGCUUACCACUUUGUGAUUCAUGACUGGGGUGAAGUCGUAACAAGGUAACCGUAGGGGAACCUGCGGUUGGAUCACCUCCUUACCUUAAAGAA
rnacentral:rRNA from 1 species